rnacentral:lncRNA from 1 species
GAAAUUGAGUAGAAAAAAUAAAUAUUUCGCCAACCAAAUGAGACCAAAAAAGUAUGAAAAUUUAAUAUGUAGUAACCUAGGAUGUAUUCUACAACUUUCAUGGAGGACACGUGUUAGAACUCUGGAUCAAAAAAUCUGUGGAAAAAGAAAAACGAGGAGUGGUCAAUGCCGUAAGUCCAAAAACAGAUUUUGAAUUCCGAAGUUUUCCAAAUAUAUUGUUAUCAUACAAAGUCCAAAAAUUCUGAAAUUAAAGUAUAUCAUAAAACAGCCAAUAAGAGACAAUGAGAGACAACUUUCUUGAGAAUGACUCAUGAAAUUUGCAUAAGUCAUUACAAAAUUAGAAAGAUUCGGCAUUGGGCUAGGAUCCGAACCUGCCCUCAGUCCCAGCACAGGUUUAAUUCCAAAUUCCAUCCAAUUUUUGGGAAACUCUCAUCAUCACAUGACAAGUGAUCAGUAUAGGAUAGAAUGGAGGAUGUCCAAUUGCCUCGGUCCUCAUGGAAGGCAGUUGCGACUUGAUGAGAUGAAGGCGAGGUUGACGGUGGCAGCGCGAGUAGCUGCGACGGAAAGGGACGGUCUUUGCUGCUUCUGCUUGUUGGCUUUCGCUGCGUCUGGUCUGCGGACGUGAGGUGCUGGCGUCGCAAUAGAAAGGAAAGGGGAAGGGCUCCUUCGCUGGCUUCUCGUGUCACGGUUGCA